rnacentral:lncRNA from 1 species
AUGAAGACACUGAGAAUUAAAGCUGAAUUAGUGUGUGGUUUUAAAACAGUGUGCACAGACACUGAGAAGACUUGCUCAGAAUAGAGAAGCAGCAAGAAAAAGCAGGCUCAGGAAAAAGGUGCAGUGAAUUUCCACUAAUCACCUAAAGCAUUUAUUUAGAUUAAAACUGAUUGGCACAGGUUUUCACCAUUGAUUGAGGUAUGGUGAUGUUAUCCAACAAUCUGUUUACUCUAGGAACCUGAGCUUGCACCUUUCAACUCCUGCUCUGCGGUGAUAAUUUGUUCUUUGCCUGAUUUUUGUUUAAGCUUAGUUUCCUAUAGUAGAGUCUUAGUUGAACUUAAUGAUGAAAUUCAGGGUGUUCUGCAUCUUUUGUACUAUUUUUGUAUUUAUUAUCAUAUUAGAGUAGUUGUUUCAAUUCGGUAAUGAAUACCAUAUAGUAUGGAGGUGGAAAAUUGUCCCCUAAAAAGUGUCUUAAAACGAUCUUGCAAAACAUAAAAUACAGCAAUGUAAAUAACUACUUCUCUGAAGCAGGGACCUGGUAUACUUGAAUGUGGUGAACAGAAGAAGGGACUUCUUCAAAGAGUUGUAGAGGGACUUUUGAUUCCUUAAAUUCUUAUGAUGAAGAGAAAGGCACUUACUAAUUUAACCACAUCAGUCUUACAAAAUCAUCUGGUUAUAGUAAAUUAUUUCUCUGAUUUCGUUUCUGAUUGGGAAUUUUCUUAACUUUGUUGGAAAAGCUAGUUUCGAUGUGAAUUUGGAUUCUUCAAUAGUCAUCAGAAUAACUCUAUCCUCUUAUGUAGGGACCUAUUUGAUUUAUCAAAAGUUAAUAUACAAAUUAAGGAGAGCAAAUCACGAGGAAUAUUUUUGCCUGGUGUUAUAGAGGUGAACUGUUUUUAGGGACUUUAUAUCUCUUUCCAUUCUAAUUUAUAUUUGAAUUUAGAGCAUAUUAUAAGAGUGAAGAUUCAUAGCAAGCAAAGGAAGGUUCAUCCUUCUGAAGGCUCUACAUUUUACAUUUGAAAACUACAAAUCAAUAGAGUUACGAGCAUAGUGAUCCGGUUGAUGUUGUCAAUCCCCUUAUAGACAACUUGAUUACCCUUUUAUGUGCAAUUCUUCUCACUAGGUAAUUUAAGUUAAAUUAUGUUACCUGGUUUAAUUCUUUUCACUGUUUAAUUCUAUCUUCUCACUAGGUAAUUUAAGUUAAAUUAUAUGGUUUCUUAUGUUACCUGUCCUUUUGAACAUUGUUUAACUUUGUUGAUUUCUUCUUGUUAUUGUUAAUUGUUGAAUUAGAAACUGUUAACUAUGUUAAUCUUUUUGUUAUUGUUUAUAUGUGCAGGUUUGGACAGGAAGGAGAAGCUGAGGGAUACUGGGUCUAGUAUUCUGUCACAGUUAUUUUGUUGAUAUUUUUGCUAUUAUAAUUUUAAUUAUUUCUAAUGCUUCAUUAGUGAUGCCCAAUUAGUGUAAAAAAUAAUAUGUCGGCCAUUUCAAUAUUGUUAUUAGCUUUUUGGAAGAAUCUUUUUUUUUUCAUUUAGGUUUUUGUUUACCUUCACGUGAAGCAAUUCCAUUAUGCAAGUUGAAAUAGGUCACACUUUAGUUAUGAUUCAUUUAUAUAUUCAAAAGUUUUCAUUCAUUUGAAGAAAA